GUAGGUGGCAAGCGUUGUCCGGAAUUAUUGGGCGUAAAGCGCGCGCAGGCGGUUCUUUAAGUCUGAUGUGAAAGCCCACGGGCUCAACCGUGGAGGGUCAUUGGAAACUGGAGUACUUGAGUACAGAAGAGGAAAGCGGAAUUCCACGUGUAGCGGUGAAAUGCGUAUAGAUGUGGAGGAACACCAGUGGCGAAGGCGGCUUUCUGGUCUGUAACUGACGCUGAGGCGCGAAAGCGUGGGGAGCAAACAGGAUUAGAUACCCUGGUAGUCCACGCCGUAAACGAUGAGUGCUAAGUGUUAGGGGGUUUCCGCCCCUUAGUGCUGCAGCUAACGCAUUAAGCACUCCGCCUGGGGAGUACGGCCGCAAAGGCUG
rnacentral:rRNA from 1 species